ACCAUGGACUUAUUUCUUAUUUAUAUUUAAUUUAUGGAUAAAAUCAGUGAAUUUGCUAUUUUAACUACUUCUGGCAUUUAUACAUUUUUCAUAUAACCCUUUUGUCUGUAGGAAUGAAGUUAAUGCCAAACACCAUUAUUACCGGUGAGGAAGACCAUUAUUUUGUGAUUGGAAACAUCUAAUACAAAAUUUGAAUGCUCUAUCCUAAGUCAUGAAUUAAUACCAUUCAUACUCAGUGGAACAAAAUUGCUGGUCAGGAACAUUGUGAAAAAGAAAAGUAAUGAGAAGUGGGACCAGCCUUACAAGAUAUUAUUAAGCUACAUUAAUUAAAACUAUGUGAUGAAGCCUUCUACUUUGGAUAAAUCUCAUGAGGAAGAUCCUGAGGCAUAGGGUUUGACUGGGUGGUCUGUGCAGCCCCCAGCAUCUCUAAGAUUUUCAUUGCCACUUUUCAUAAUGUGGUCCUCAGAAAAAAGCAUAUAGUACUUCAGAUAGGAUUUGACCAUCAUAAGGUAAGUUGAUGUUUUUGUUGGUUUCUUUUAUAAACAGCCAUGUACUAUGCUGACAAGUAAGUAGCUGUCAUCCUUGGUUGUAUUUUUCACAUGAAUUGCUUAUAAGUAAGGCCUUAUGUUAUGGAUGAACAGCUUAUUUUUUGAGCUGCAGGGCAGUACUUUAUAUUUAUAUUUCUUUUUGUGAGUUAUUUUAUAUCCAUUUUUUGUUCUAGACUGCUGAAUUUCUUUGAAUCUCUGCCCUGGGUAUUAGGAAGACCCACAGAUUGUUGUUUCCUCAUUCUCACUGAUCCUGCCUCUGUAUCCAUUCUGAAUGGUUGAAGAAAAUGUUAACCAGGGCAGUCGAGUAGAAGUUCUUGUGGCAGAUUGCUAGGGUCUUUCUACUCUCUUUACACUUGACUUGUGGGAAUCUCUAGCAGUGGUUCCAGGCUUCUGUUGACAAUGUUUUAGGUCAUGGCUGAAUGUAAUUUGUCUUGGUUUAAAGCUUUGAAUUCAAACAGUUAACUUUCUUAAUAAAUUGUCAUUUUUUUGGUCUCAAAAUCUGUAUUUGUAAGUUUUUAUUUUUGUAUACAUUUGGAUCAUCAUUGCUAGCUUUUUUCACAAUGAUUGUGUUUUUAGUUAGCUUUUGCUUUAGAGAUCUCCAACAGAAUAUUACCGAAUAGCCCCCACAUUUUCUUUUUCUUUAUUUUGCAUUCACAAUCCUCCCAUGGUUUCCUGACCUCUGGAGUGCUGGGUACUAAGUGCUAAGUAAACAAAGUGGAGCUGGUGGAACAACAGGAGGAGGACUUCUCUUACUUUAAGGUUUCCAGUCUUUUUCAACAGGUAUACUACAAAUACACACCAAUGUUUGUUUGUUUGUUUGUUUUUAUUA